rnacentral:rRNA from 1 species
AUUGAACGCUGGCGGCAUGCCUUACACAUGCAAGUCGAACGGCAGCACGGGUGCUUGCACCUGGUGGCGAGUGGCGAACGGGUGAGUAAUACAUCGGAACAUGUCCUGUAGUUGGGGAUAGCCCGGCGAAAGCCGGAUUAAUACCGCAUACGAUCUACGGAUGAAAGCGGGGGACCUUCGGGCUUCGCGCUAUAGGGUUGGCCGAUGGCUGAUUAGCUAGUUGGUGGGGUAAAGGCCUACCAAGGCGACGAUCAGUAGCUGGUCUGAGAGGACGACCAGCCACACUGGGACUGAGACACGGCCCAGACUCCUACGGGAGGCAGCAGUGGGGAAUUUUGGACAAAGGGCGAAAGCCUGAUCCAGCAAUGCCGCGUGUGUGAAGAAGGCCUUCGGGUUGUAAAGCACUUUUGUCCGGAAAGAAAUCCUUGGCCCUAAUACGGUCGGGGGAUGACGGUACCGGAAGAAUAGGCACCGGCUAACUACGUG